rnacentral:rRNA from 1 species
GACGAACGCUGGCGGCGUGCUUAACACAUGCAAGUCGAACGGUGAAGCGCCUUCCUUUUUGGUGGGUGUGGAUGAGUGGCGAACGGGUGAGUAACACGUGAGUAACCUGCCCCCUUCUUCUGGAUAACCGCAUGAAAGUGUGGCUAAUACGGGAUAUUCUGGGUCUGUCGCAUGAUGGGUCUGGGAAAGAUAUUGUUUCGGUGGGGGAUGGGCUCGCGGCCUAUCAGCUUGUUGGUGGGGUGAUGGCCUACCAAGGCGGUGACGGGUAGCCGGCCUGAGAGGGUGGGCGGUCACACUGGGGCUGAGACACGGCCCCGACUCCUACGGGCGGCAGCAGUGGGGAAUAUUGCACAAUGGGCGCAAGCCUGAUGCAGCGACGCCGCGUGAGGGAUGGAGGCCUUCGGGUUGUGAACCUCUUUCGCCAGUGAAGCAGGCCUGCCUCGUUUGUGGGUGGGUUGACGGUAGCUGGAUAAGAAGCGCCGGCUAACUACGUG